rnacentral:rRNA from 1 species
GACGAACGCUGGCGGCGUGCCUAACACAUGCAAGUCAACUUGACUGAAGGAGCAAUCUGACAGUAGAGUGGCGCAAAGGGUGCGUAACGCGUAAGUAACUUGCCCAAGGUAAGGAAUAACGUCGAGAAAUCGGCGCUAAUACCUCAUAAUGCAGCGGAUCCGCAUGGAUAUGUUGUUAAAGGUUUACCGCCUUGGGAUAGGCUUGCGUCUGAUUAGCUAGUUGGUGUGGUAACGGCACACCAAGGCUACGAUCAGUAACUGGUCUGAGAGGAUGAUCAGUCACACUGGAACUGAGACACGGUCCAGACUCCUACGGGAGGGCAGCAGUGA